rnacentral:lncRNA from 1 species
GAGAUUUGCAGCCAGAGAGAAACAGUGCUGGGAGCAGCUGGAUUUGGUAUCCUGUGCCAAAGGCACAAAUCAGCUAUCAACAGUUCUUUCACAGAAGCAGCAUUUGGCCUGACUUUGUGGCCAAGGCAGCUCUUGGUGCCUUGAACAUUCUCCUCUGCUGGGAACAGGUAGAGCAAUGGGAAGAGAAACUGCCUUAGGAUUUACUUCACUCUUCACUUACCUGGGACUCUUUCAAGUGUUGGCGUCACUGCAGAUUCAGCAAAAGGGAAAAGCUCAGGGCACCCUCCUGCCUCCCUCUUCAAAAAGAAGGAAAAUAACUGUUUUUUCUGAAGUCACCCAUUCCACCAAGCAAAUACUGAAUGCAUUUGGGAGAGCCUGGAAAGCCAGAGUGCUGACAGAAAUUAGUGUUUGGAAGAGGAAUACAUAUAAUUUCCAUGCAAGUUUUAUACCAGUGCAGUACAUGAGCCAAAGCACAAACCACCUGCACAUCCCACUGCCCUCGGGCAUGCUUUGCAUUAGGACCAGAAGGAUGUGGAACACAUUUAGAGAUGCCAAGCCAUUACUCCUCCCAUAUGGUUUAUUGAGGAUCUCAGUUUCCAAAGCAUGAGUAGCAGUGAGGCCCAUUAUUCUUUCCAGCAUGCAAAAGGCACAAGAAAGUCAUCAAUGUGAUUCUGUGCAAAGUGUCCCUAAGAAAACACACAGCGAGGAAAUGACAGAAAAGAGCCCCCAAUGGAAGAAUGCCAAAGCGCCUUCAGGAAAGUGCUGAAAAGUUCUGAAAAUGGUUGUACUUUUUCAGAGUCCAGAUAUGCUCAGUUGGUGAAAGAUGCUUUGCAAAUCCGUGAAAGAAAACUCAAGAGACAGAGCCAAAAGGCUUAAAACAAUAAUCUCCUUCAUGUGCCAGAAUUCAGGAUGAAAGUCAAAAUGAUUUGUCUCAAGAAAAAAGUGUGGCAGUUAAAGACAGACAUUAAAUUCUUUAAAAAAAAAGCCCACCAAAACCAGACGUAGAAAGUGGAUACAUUCUAAGAGCAGCUCAAUAAAAAAUAUUCCUUUUAAUGAAAAUAAUUUCUU